CGCGUCACGGCUCCUCCGCUGUACAAACGGUAGAUUUACGGCCUCAUAACAAACGUCGGCUUCACGUCACUACAUGGAAUAGCCGCUGCAAGAUAUCCACAGGCACCGUGCACGACCUUAUAGUCACUAUCGAUUGGGAAGACACCAGUAAAGACACCCAAGCUUGAACAAAACCCUAUUCUGAGAAACCUACAAUUUAUGCAAACUACAGAGAAAAAGCCAAGAAAACAAACAGAUGAUGCAUGAGUCUGAGCCAGUUUAGCAUUUUCAGGACCACGAACAGCUCCUCCUCGCCGCAAACGACGUAAAUGAACAUGGCUGACCUUCAAGCCAACAAGCGCUGCAGUGCGCAGGGCUGCCAACAGUGCGCAAAACCAGGAAUAAACCUCAGCGCAGGCUACAAGCCUGUGGGUCAGUUUUCCAUUUACAGUGAUGCUGAUGUAAUUUCUACACAUCACAUCUUCCUGUGCACACGCCCUGAACAACGUGCUUUCUUGUGGGAGUAAGCUGCAGUCAGUGGUCACCUCGCUGCUACUCUCCAAUGACAGUUGCAGACUUGUGCAACUCACCUUCUGUGAAUGAACACAAACAGGGCAGUGCAGCGCAGCCACAGGAGGCCUAUGGACUGCAUGGGCCAUCUGUCCCCAACAAUGCAGGCAACUUAACCUUAUUCACUGCUUCAAGUCAGCCUGCACUCAGACCGUUGUAGUGACAGGAUGCUGGAGCUGUCAGUCAGCGGUUCAAACAGCAGAGCUCAUCUCUCCCAUCUCUGCCUUUCUGUGCUGCCUCACAGACAUUGAUUACCCCAGACAAGACAGAAACACUUGCUGCUGUCUCUGUGCAGCACAAUGCCUCAGUCUCACAUCCGCUCUGUGCUUCUGCUCCUCUACAGCACUGGCUUCUUUCUCAACUGGAGAGCAGCGGUGAGACAGGCUCAUAACAGACUUAUCAUGUCCUUGCUUCAGUGUCCCACACUUGAAAGACAGACUUUUUGCUAUUCAGGAAAUUGUCAUACAGAUACAGAUAUUUAUAGAAAUAUUUAAAAACACACAAGAGAGGAUCUCAGUCUUAUUAAUUCAACCAUUACUGGUUGGUUUAAUUGAAUUAGCAUUUAGGAAUCUUUAGUUUUAAUCUGUUCUUGUUUUUUGACGUUACAAAGGCUAUAGGUUAAAUAUUAAUAACCUAAGAUUCAAUUAAAGACAAAUGUUAUGAAAUGAAAAUAUACUGAAGACUUGAACAUGGGCGAUCAAAAAGAGUCAUCAUUCCAGCUCUGGAGAGAAAGCCUGAUCCCUUGGGUUUCUCCCUGUGGCACCGGUCUGCUUCAGCAUUGGGAGGAUUAAUAUUCUCAGUAUGUAGGGAUGAGCAGUAGAGAGAUGACAUCACACAAACCCAACAGGAGAAUGACUUUUGAAGCUGAACAUCUAGCAGAACCCUGUUGAAGUGGGUAAAUGAUGUGAGUCAUUUGUUUGAAGAACAUGAAGCAUUACUCCUUAAUCACAUUAAGUCAUUAUAAAACAUAUCAAUGGACUGAAACAAAGCUGGAUACUUGAAACACCACUCAGAUCUACUGUUAAACUGACAUAUCGCUACUUCAUUACUGCCACAGAUGAUAUUCACUCCUAAACUUUGCUGUGAAUUUUAUACAGUAUUAAUACUUUGAGGAUAGAAAACAGUACUUUACAUUAUUUCAGUCUUUAGACCCCGGACAGACAGACCACUGGUUAAAUUUAUAUGGCUGAAUUUUUAAUGGCUGAAAAAAUUAAGAACGCUCAGAGGUCUUGCAUGUAUGUAGCUUUGUGAAAAGUUAAUAUAAAAACAUGUUUUGAAAAACAUUUUGAGACUCAAUUUUACUGUGUGUAAUGUACAGUAGGAGAGAGUAAGAGUUAGAACUUAGAUAAAAAUUUGAUAAUACAUUAGCAAAAAUUAAAAUCUAUACAGCCAUGUUUUCUAGCAAUUAAUUAAUUAUUUAACUUCUCAUGCAAAAGUAGUGUCAACUGUAUUGUCUGUAGUAGUAGAGUAGUGCAUUUAAUUUAAAAAUAAAAAUCUGUAAACGCACAUCUUGUACAAAAGGUGUAAAUAAACAGUAAUUAUUUGCUAAAUAUUGGCCAGUACCGGUACUGUACAAUGCUAAUGGUACAAAAUAACAACUUUUUGCUGUAUUUACUAAAACAAUGCUAAACUGUAAAUUUCAGCUAACCGCUGUUAGUCUCCAGGUAAAUAAUGGCAACUGUGCUGCCUGUACUUCUAGCAGGACAAAGUCUAGGAGUGUUUUUUUUUUAAACUGCCCGUGAGGAUCUAUGAAGAAAAUACAGCUUCUUCAUUACUGACCUCCGGCAAAGCUGGUGUAUUAUUUAUGACGUCAUCAUCAGUAGAGACGUUGCCCUCCGUUUUCAUCCUUGUUUGACUUUGGAAGCUCAUGUUCUCUGCAUCUUAAUUCGUGCUGGCUAGGCUCACUUUCUGGCCGUCCUUUCUUCUUCCUGUCUCCACUGACUCUUGUAGUUUGGUUUCACUUCACACUGUGACUACUCAGCAGAGUCCGCCGUGCUCCUCUCCAUCUUCACAGACCACUCUGCUCUCCUCUCCCUCGCUUCUUUUGACCUUCGCUCUAAUGAUUUUUUUCUACUACUUGGCCGACUGAAAACCUUGCCAAAUGAAUUCCAAAAGCCUUUUUUCAUGUUAAAAAGUUGUGCCGUUUGAAAUCUUUAAUUUCUGAAUUUUGAAACUGCCAAAAAAGGUCUCCAUCGCCAGAGCUUUGGACCCAAGUACAAAGACAAAGUUAGUUUUAAUGGCAAGAUCUUUACUCAUCACUUCCGCAUGCAGCGCUGUGGGGGCUAAGGGUCACGCACAUUCAGCUAUGAUUCAUACCACUGGCCUUCACACACUGAGACAUCCCAGAAUUUUACAUCAUAGAAAACAGCACAGUGAAUCAAAGAGCUUUGAUGUGUGCUUUAAAUGUGGCAGGAUUUUAUUUUCAGUCAAUGAAGAAGAAACUGAUGUAGGGUAAUGUGAUUUCUCUAACUCCUGCUUAAACAGAGGCUUUUUAAUGACUUACUCUGUCGCCCUAGUGGUGAGAUGUUCCAGUAACACCAGCCUAGAGGGAACAAUGGAUGUUAAUCCUUUUAGAAAUAUUUGCAACUGGACAAAUUCCAUUCUAUAUUUUUAUAUGUUUAGAAAAAAUCCUGGUCCUGGAGGCUUGCAUUAAUUUGUGUGAAGUAACUAUCAGAUUAGAGAAAGUAAGACUUUGGUUCUCAUGCACAACACCCUGUCUGAAUUUUGUAGACUUAUGCAUUUGCUUUGACUCAUGUAUCAUUGACCAUUCUGUGAUUAUUCUCCUUAUUGUUACACAGUUCAGACUUUUCAGGGGCUCCUCCUCCCAGUUAUGUUUGAAUGUUUUUCUUCCACUGCUAAUGCUAGCAGCGCCAAACCCUUCCUUUCUUCUGGCAACUCUACAUGUUGUACAAUUUGGAGCAAGGAUUGACCUUAGAAAUGUUUUUGCAUAUUCAGUGAGUUUUAUACAUUCCCAUUUACAGUGAUUUUAUAGGAAUAACUACUUGGAACAUGGCAAAAUGUGUCUUCUAUUUAAUUAUAUUACAGACAGCUAUUAAACAAAGAUGCUAAUGAAGAUACAUUACAGUAAAAGCUGCAAUCCAAGAAAUACUUCUAGAGUACCUCUUUAAGGGUCACACGCAUUGUCUACAUGUUUUAUUUUUUUCUUUUCUUCAUCCUGAAUUCUGUAGAAGCCCUUGAUUUCCUUGACAACACCAGAACAGCUCAGCCUACCAAGAAACAGGAUGCGUAUCCGUUCACAGUAAACCCACCACCACUACCUCUUACUCCGCUCUCUUGGUCCAAAUUCUAGUCAUCGCCUGUCUGCACUACUCUAACUCUCUGCUGGCUGGUCUCCCAGCAGACCUUCCUCUAGCCCGUAGCGUUCACACUGAGAGCAGCCGCUCGUCUGAUUUCCAUCAGCACUAAAGUCCUUCGUUUCAUCCCCCUCCUCACUGUCUGCUCUGGUUCCUCAUUUCAAAUUCAAACCCUCAACCCUCCUCUUCCUGUGUUCCCAGAGGCGCGAUGACCUCAGUCACCCCUGACAGGACUACAUGGUUGCUCCAUAUCUCAAAAGCUCUCUCCAGCCGGAACCUUUCACAUCCACAUUUCCCCUUAUCUUCCUUUUGUGUUUUCAUCUGAUGUCACUGCUUUCUCUUCAGAAACUAUUGACGCAUGACUAUUGUUUUUUUUUCCUCCAGUUUUUCUGUACCUUAAGUGUAGCUCUGCAUGGAUGUCGGUGUGUAAGUUGAUUCACUCUUUUCAAGCAUAACAAAUCUAGGAGCUUACACCUUCACCUCAAUGCAUUGAGGCUACAUAUUAGACUGGACUCUGAUGUUUAAUGUAAAUAAACUACUGUGAGAGCUCUCUAAUCUUAUUGCAGCAACCUUGAGAAAUAGUAAUAGAAACCCAGUGUACGUUUAAAAUUGGACCUUAUUUAAUUCCCUAUGUUGUUUUACAUUUCACUCUACAAGACAAACUAUUUAUGUUGAUAUCUACUGAUCUGUACGUUUAUACAGUAGAACCUUUGUCAAUAGAUCCAGAAAGAAGAAUUUGGUCAUCUGGAAGAACCUGUGACAGGAAACAUGGCUGCAGCUGCGGUUUUCAGCUGUCUGGCUUCAUAUUGGAUGUGAAAUCAAUUAUUGACUUGCCAAUAUAUUCAGCACACUAUAAGAAAAUGAUUACGCUGAAUCAGAUCAUAGCUGAAAGCACCACAAGAUGCUUUUAAGGAAUAACUGCUACAUUCAAAACAUUGCCAGACAUGGAGGCUGUACAAAGAAAAACGUAUAUAAUUAUUAUAGUUCUUGAUCUUUAAAUAAUCUGAUCCAUGAGUCUUGCAUGGCUAAUUUAAAAUGACUGACACUGCAUCUGUCAAACGUAAAUGUAUUUUUAGCCAAAUAGAAAGUAAACGUGCACAUUAGGAUGGAUUUAGGGCACUAGUUGCUAUACGGUGCUGCGCCCUGUCACACAAGACAAAAUGAUCAUACACCCAUGCAGCUUUAAUUACCACCAUCCAUCAGUUCAAUGUCAUGUGGAUUAGAUUUUGUUGUCAUAUUUAGGGCAAAAAUGAUUAAAUGCAAGUUGAUUUGUCCCCAACUUGCACUGUAUGGAAUUAUAUAGACCCAUAUCAAAGACAGAGAGGAGAGAAAAGAACAACAGGUGACAAAAGCCAACAACAACAGGCAACACAACCUUGGAAGCAGCUUUGAGUCCAACGACGCCUGUGGAGGGGUGAGAAGCACAACUGUGGAAAAAAAUAGCUGAAGGGUCUGCUUCGUAUUUCUAAUUCAGAAAGAUAUUGAACAAGGUCACACAAGGUCUUAAAUUAUGAUGGAGCUUUAGCAUGUACAUAGGAGAAGGAUUUUGAAUUUGAUUCUAAAUUUAGAGAGAGCCAUGGAAAAAAAGGCCAACGUACAGUAGGAGAAACACAAUCUCGAUGCUAAGUCCAGUCCAAACUCAGCCUGCAGCAUUCAGAAUUAACUAGUCAUUAGAAAGGAGUUACAAUAGUUCAGAAGAUGCUGCAUCAGCAUCACUGUGACAAAUGAUGCUUCUCAUACCUGGGAUUUCUCUAUACAGAGAGAAGAUAUCCUACGUUCACAAAUAAACUACAGUAUGAAAGCCCUCUCUGUCAGUCAACACGACCAAACAAAAAGCAGCUGUUUCCAGCAUGAGCAGUUCAGCACUGGGCUGAGAGCUGUAUCCGGGGCAGGCACCACAAUGGCUCCCAGUCCAACAAACUAAAUUUUCUGGGUCUAGAGUAGGUUCUUAGUUGAAGGCUGUGAUCUAUUAUGGAUAGUUGAUUUACACCAUUUGUACUGUAGGAAAUCUAUGGUUGUUUGUGGAAUUUUAUAAUUUUACUUUUUAACAAAAAUGUACAAAGACGUUGAGAUGUACAGUAGGCAGAUACUAAGCUCAACGGAAGCGUGUCUGUUUGUCAGCUUGGCUCUGUAAAGGAAAAAAUUGUGCCUUUGUGCUUUUUCUUAUCCAACACAGUUGUCAUGUGCUGGUUAGGUGCAAUACUGAACAUUCCUACACAAACAACUAAUCUCUUGCGCCCUGUCGUACAUCAAGUCUAAACAUCUGAUGUUCCAUUUGACUGACUAAUAAUUUAUGAUAUAUGUUUGUCUUUUACACCCGGUCUCUGGCUCCAUCCCAUCUGACUCCCCACCAGACCCAAGGCUGUAAAACCCAAUGCAUCUUGUGUUUGAAGCUUGGUGUUUCCUUGCUUUCUGAUAACAAGACACAAGACAUAAGGUGGCGCAAACUAUUCUAUUGGUGCAGAGAGACAUUCCACCAGAGCCAGAAAAAGGGGUUAAAAGGCAGAGACAACUUGAGGGUUUUGGCCUCUUUGCAUCACACCUUCGUGGUGUGUGCACUGAUCUCCCCAGCUGGUUUUUGGUUUGUUCAUGCGCACGAUCAACAUCCAUGUUAUUGAUUUGCUUUCCCCAUUAUUUUUAUUUGCCUGUAUUUUUAUAAUAAAUCACACAAAAGAUAACUCUUUCAUCUGCUUGUUUAUGUAAAAUUUCCACCACAGCUACAGUUCUGAAAAGAACCCGGGGUUGUUUUUAUUUUCCUCAAUGAAUGAUGAAUAAUCUGUGAAUCUAGCAACCCAAAGCGCUUUUUUAUGUAUUAUUUAACCGUCUUCCAUCCUAGGCUCACUUGGUUAAAGACCACUCCCCCUGUUGCCCAUUAGAAUGGCUUUGCCUGGGUGGCAGACAACGAAACAAACCCUGGAAAAUAUCUGACUGCUGGAGACUCUAAUUCCACGUUCAUGACCUUAUCAAAGUGUGGUUGGCAGUGAUCUUUGGGUGAAUGCCUAGACACCAAGCCAUCACCCACCAGAACCUGCUAGAGUACAGCUAAUGGGCUAAUCUGGGUUAUCUCUCAAGGAGGCAGAGGAGAAACAUUACAAGCAAGGGAAAGACAACACAAGGACAUUAGCAGCAUGUUACAAGCCUAUGCUAUGACCCUUUAUUUAGUCGCUACCAGACAACAAAUGAUAUUAGAAAUGGAAGUAGAAAAGUACACAACUUAGCAGCAGCUCAUUAGCAGGAAUGGGAACCGUUAAAUUUAAUGUAGGAGCAGAAGUAGCAGCCAGACUAGAUUUUCAUGUACAGUUGUUUUUGGCAAGAGCAAGGUUCCACACCAUCAAAUAUCAUGUUAAACGCUUUGAUUCGUGUGUCAGGAAGUUACAUUGACACCGUAGCCUACCAAUGUGUCUCAUUUGCUUCGCAGCUCCUAUUAGAGUGCGGCGCACUUUAACGCAUCAAACACAGUAACACUGCAUUUCAUGUUCCCACUUAUUUACUGUGCCAACAGUUCAAAUGAACCACUCGAGCUGCUCCACGACUCGCUUUGGCGCUGCUGUGCGUGGGUUGAAUGCGCCUCCGUGGAGCUAAACCGGCGUUGGCAAGUUCUUCAUGCAGAUGGCUCCUCCAUCUUCCCACUGUUCAUUGUGUUACCGAACGCUCUAAAAGCUUUUCCAUCCCUUUGCCCUCAGCCCGAGGAUGAGUCACUGAAUGAAGAA